rnacentral:rRNA from 1 species
GAAAGCGUAAUAGCUCACUGGUCGAGUCGGCCUGCGCGGAAGAUGUAACGGGGCUAAACCAUGCACCGAAGCUGCGGCAGCGACACUGUGUGUUGUUGGGUAGGGGAGCGUUCUGUAAGCCUGUGAAGGUGGCCUGUGAGGGUUGCUGGAGGUAUCAGAAGUGCGAAUGCUGACAUAAGUAACGAUAAAGCGGGUGAAAAGCCCGCUCGCCGGAAGACCAAGGGUUCCUGUCCAACGUUAAUCGGGGCAGGGUGAGUCGACCCCUAAGGCGAGGCCGAAAGGCGUAGUCGAUGGGAAACAGGUUAAUAUUCCUGUACUUGGUGUUACUGCGAAGGGGGGACGGAGAAGGCUAUGUUGGCCGGGCGACGGUUGUCCCGGUUUAAGCGUGUAGGUGUGUGUUCCAGGUAAAUCCGGUUCACUUUAACACUGAGGCGUGAUGACGA